GACGAACCGUGCGAACGUUGUUCGGAAUCACUGGGCUUAAAGGGCGCGUAGGCGGGCUGACAAGUCUGGGGUGAAAUGCCGCGGCCCAACCGUGGAACUGCCUUAGAUACUGUCGGCCUCGAGGAAGGUAGGGGCAUGCGGAACUGUAGGUGGAGCGGUGAAAUGCGUUGAUAUCUACAGGAACUCCGGUGGCGAAAGCGGCGUGCUGGACCUUUUCUGACGCUGAGGCGCGAAAGCUAGGGGAGCAAACGGG
rnacentral:rRNA from 1 species